AUGCCAUCCAGACGGAGGAAGAUUUGGAAUCUUUGGGGCCACAUGAGUCUCUUGCUGCAUCGACAAACACUGAAAUUACCUGGGGGGCCAGGAUCCUGCUGGGAUCAUGCAUCACCACAAGAUCAACUUCCACAAAUAACACCCAGGUUCCUUUGGGAAAGUUGGUAUGCGGCAUUACCACUUGAAGUGGAACCAGAGCUUUGCCCGAACGACUGCCCUACUGUAAACUUUGAUAAAUUGUGGACCUUGGUCAGUGAGCAGACAUGGGUAAAUGCUGCCAAAACCAAGACAGGAAUUGGUCCCAUCAUUGAUGUGGUGUGGCCAGGCUUCUACAAAGUUCCAGGUAAGGGAAAACUGCUAAAGCAGCCUGUCAUCAUGAAGGUCAAAUGCUUCAGCAGAAUUGCUGAGGAGAAGAUUAGGGGUGUGAGUGUGGUGGGCCUUGU
rnacentral:lncRNA from 1 species